rnacentral:tRNA from 1 species
GCCUUCUUAGCUCAGUGGUAGAGCGUUGGUCUCGUAAAUUGAGUUAGAUAACCAAAGGCCGAGAGUUCAAUCCUCUCAGGAGGCA